GCCGGGCGCGGUGGUGCGUGCCUGUAGUCCCAGCUACUCAGGAGGCUGAGGUGAGAGGAUCGCUUGAGUCCGGGAGUUCUGGGCUGUAGUGCACUAUGCCGAUCAGGUGUCCGUACUAAAUUCAGCAUCAAUAUGGUGACCUCCCACGAGUGGGGGACCACCAGGUUGCCUAAGGAGGGGUGAACCAGCCCAGUAGGUCAAAACUCCUGUGCUGAUCAGUAGUGGGAUUGCACCUGUGAAUAGCCACUGCACUCCGGCCUGGGCAACAUAGCGAGACCCCGUCUCU
ensembl:misc_RNA Metazoa_SRP Metazoan signal recognition particle RNA